rnacentral:rRNA from 1 species
ACUCCUACGGGAGGCAGCAGUGGGGAAUAUUGCACAAUGGGAAACCCGUAGCAUGCAGCCAUGCCGCGUGUGUGAAGAAGGCCUUCGGGUUGUAAAGCACUUUCAGCGAGGAGGAAAGGUUAGUAGUUAAUACCUGCUAGCUGUGACGUUACUCGCAGAAGAAGCACCGGCUAACUCCGUGCCAGCAGCCGCGGUAAUACGGAGGGUGCGAGCGUUAAUCGGAAUUACUGGGCGUAAAGCGUGCGCAGGCGGUUUGUUAAGCGAGAUGUGAAAGCCCG